GACGAACGCUGGCGGCGUGCCUAAUACAUGCAAGUCGAGCGAAUGAUGAGGAGCUUGCUCCUCUGAUUUAGUGGCGGACGGGUGAGUAACACGUGGGCAACCUGCCCUGUAGACUGGGAUAACUUCGGGAAACCGGAGCUAAUACCGGAUAAUUCUUUUAGCCUCAUGGCUUUAAGCUAAAAGGCGCUUCGGCGUCACUACAGGAUGGGCCCGCGGUGCAUUAGCUGGUUGGUGGGGUAAUGGCCUACCAAGGCAACGAUGCAUAGCCGACCUGCGAGGGUGAUCGGCCACAUUGGGACUGAGACACGGCCCAAACUCCUACGGGAGGCAGCAGUAGGGAAUCUUCCACAAUGGACGAAAGUCUGAUGGAGCAACGCCGCGUGAGUGAUGAAGGUUUUCGGAUCGUAAAACUCUGUUGUAAGGGAAGAACAAGUGCGUUAGGUAAUGAACGCACCUUGACGGUACCUUAUUAGAAAGCCACGGCUAACUACGUGCCAGCCGCCGCCGUAA
rnacentral:rRNA from 1 species